GAAGGUGUAGCUCCGUGGUAGAGUGCAUGCCUAGCAUGCAGGAAGUCCUGGGUUCAAUCCUCAGUACCUUCA
rfam:Camelus ferus unplaced genomic scaffold scaffold29410, whole genome shotgun sequence.